GACGAACGCUGGCGGCGUGCCUAACACAUGCAAGUCGAGCGAGGAGAGUUCCUUCGGGAACAAACCUAGCGGCGGACGGGUGAGUAACACGUGGGCAACCUGCCUUGUAGAGGGGAAUAGCUUCCGAAAGGAAAGAUUAAUACCGCAUAACAUUACAGUUUCGCAUGAAAUAGUAAUUAAAGGAGCAAUCUGCUACAAGAUGGGGCCCGCGGCGCAUUAGCUAGUUGGUGAGGUAACGGCUCACCAAGGCGACGAUGCGUAGCCGACUUGGGAGGGUGAUCGGCCACAUUGGGACUGAGACACGGCCCAGACUCCUACGGGAGGCAGCAGUGGGGAAUAUUGCACAAUGGGGGAAACCCUGAUGCAGCAACGCCGCGUGAGUGAUGAAGGUUUUCGGAUCGUAAAGCUCUGUCUUCGGGGACGAUAAUGACGGUACCCGAGGAGGAAGCCACGGCUAACUACGUG
rnacentral:rRNA from 1 species